rnacentral:rRNA from 1 species
GACGAACGCUGGCGGCGUGCUUAACACAUGCAAGUCGAACGGAGUGGCGAACGGGUGAGUAACACGUGGGAGACCUGCCCUGCACUCCGGGAUAAGCCUGGGAAACUGGGUCUAAUACCGGAUAGUGUGGGAUGGGCGCGCGGCCUAUCAGCUGGUUGGUGGGGUAUGGGCCUACCAAGGCGGCGCCGGGUAGCCGGCCUGAGCGGGUGGACGGCCACAUUGGGACUGUGACACUGCCCAGACUCCUACGGGAGGCAGCAGUGGGGAAUGUUGCGCAAUGGGGGGAAGCCUGAUGCAGCGACGCCGAGGGGGGGGUGACGGCCUUCGGGUUGUAAACUCCUUUCACCAUCGACGCGGUAGAUGGAGAAGAAGCACCGGCUAACUACGUGCCAGCAGCCGCGGUAAUAC